GGAAUCUUGGACAAUGGGCGCAAGCCUGAUCCAGCCAUGCCGCGUGGAUGAUGAAGGCCCUAGGGUUGUAAAAUCCUUUCGUUGGGGACGAUAAUGACGGUACCCAAAGAAGAAGCUCCGGCUAACUUCGUGCCAGCAGCCGCGGUAAUACGAAGGGGGCUAGCGUUGUUCGGAUUUACUGGGCGUAAAGCGCGUGUAGGCGGGCUGGAAAGUUGGGGGUGAAAUCCCGAGGCUCAACCUCGGAACUGCCUCCAAAACUUCCAGCCUGGACCCAAAGAGAGGCAAGUGGAAUUGCGAGUGUAGAGGUGAAAUUCGUAGAUAUUCGCAGGAACACCAGUGGCGAAGGCGACUUGCUGGCUUUGUGGUGACGCUGAGGCGCGAAAGCGUGGGGAGCGAAC
rnacentral:rRNA from 1 species